AAAAUAACAUGACCUCUUGUAAACAUAUAUAGGGCUUAUGUAACUGUGCGGUAAUGUAUUUGAUAUAGCGUUGGUACCGAGCUGACGUGUGCUAGACAAUGUGGUCGCGAGGAGCGAUCGUUCACGGUACAUGUGGUGCUGGGCACACUGACACGUGUGUGAGACAACAGCUUUGUAUUGACGCAGGAGUGUAACGACCCUAUGUUUCUAUGUGGUCGGUGUGCCUUAAUGAACUGUAGUCUCGUAACCCGGACUGUUGCACUUGUUUAAAAUACUGUUUAAGUGGUUUGGUAGUUUGGGAUCCUGUAUUUAGACCCAAACCGGCAUCACUGUGAAGGGAAUGUGUUUUUGGGCUCUUCAUAUAACACUGAAGAUGUUAACAGAAAGUUUCAAAAACAGUAGAAAUAUAAAUUGACUUCAAAACAAGAUGAUGAGACACACGAAGUCAGAAGACGUGAAGCAGACACCCGACGAUGACGUAUGUGAUGUGGCUUUCCUCCCUUACAAGGCAGCCGACGAAUUCAGCAAACCCAGGCAACAUCGCGUCUUCACAAACAAAGUCGUUUACACAGUUUUUCUGUGUUCAGCUUUCUUCGUUUUUGGUUGGACCUACGAACAGAUGGGCCCGGCACUACUGGAUCUUCAGUACAAUACUAACGUGACGUUUACCCUGGCCUCUGUGUACAUGAUGGCGGUCAACAUGGCU